UACGAAGGGUGCAAGCGUUACUCGGAAUUACUGGGCGUCAAGCGUGCGUAGGUGGUGAGUUAAGUCUGUCGUGAAAGCCCCGGGCUCAACCUGGGAAUGGCGAUGGAUACUGGCUCGCUAGAGUGCGGUAGAGGAGAGUGGAAUUCCCGGUGUAGCAGUGAAAUGCGUAGAGAUCGGGAGGAACAUCAGUUGCGAAGGCGGCUCUCUGGACCAGCACUGACACUGAGGCACGAAAGCGUGGGGAGCAAACAGG
rnacentral:rRNA from 1 species